rnacentral:lncRNA from 1 species
CAGCCUUGGCAUCUGAUGUUUUCUGAACACUUGAGCCAAGCUCGGCAUCUAUGUCAAUCGCAGUACGGCCGUCUGCUCCAAGAUUAUUGUGUGAGUUGGAGCUAACACGUAUCAUGAAAGACUCGUCGCUCAUAGUGUGCACAUUCUUCUUUUCCUCCACAGUGGGUCUCUUGUAAUGUGCCUCGGCGAGGGGGUCCAAAGAGCUCCCCCUGUCCAUUGAGUUGUCAUGUCCAUAAACCAUGAAGUCAUCAUUUGCCCCUCUUCUGUAUCCCCCACCUCCGGCUUCUAUCUCCUUCAUGUCGCCAUCCACAAAGCUCCGCCCUUCCCCAGACAUCAUAAGUUCAUCACCAGACAUUAUCUGCCUGGCCCUAAUUCUCCCAUUGGCUGUGUUGAAAGGUAUUGCAUUCCGCUCGUUGACAUCAGCGGAACCUCGAUCGGAUAAAAGAAUAGGAUCAUCCAUAUUUCUUGUGUUCUCUUUCCUCCUAGAGGGUGGUGGUGGCCCUCUUUCGCCAGCGAACAUGUCCGCGUCAUUAUCAUCUCUUGUCUUCUCUUCGUCUCUGAGCAAGAAAUUCUGGAACGCAUUCCAGUUUCCUUGAUCUCCAUCUUGAUGCCCAUUAGACACUUCAUCCUUGGUGUACUCAUCUUCAGACUCAACAGUGGUUUUCUUGCCCCCUUUUUUCUUCGAGCUCGAGCGCUUAUGAUGAUUCCUCUUGCUGGAUUUUCUGUGUGAAUCAUCACUAUCCUCUGAUGCCACAUCAGAACCUGAUUGAGACUCGCUCUCUGAUGACCCAUGCUUCUUCCUUGAUGUUACAUUUACAUUGCGUAUAACAAUUACAUUAGAUUUUUUCUUGCCUGACCGAUUGCCCUUUUUACUCGACUUGCGGCCAUGAGAACUCUCCCUCUCUGAACCACUUUCGUCAUCACUCUCAUCAUCAGAGUUGUCGAAGUCCUUGCUAUCUGAUGAGUUCUUCCUUGAUGGUCUCCUUUCUGAGUGGUUGUACCUGGGAUCAUCUGUUGGGGGGUAGGGAGGAGGGUAAUAUGGGUUUGCCCCAGGGUAGUAUGGUGGCAUGCCUUGCAUGGGGUAAGGCGGAUGCAUUGCCCAUGGUGGAUAUCCUGAUUGAUAUGGACCACGAUGGGGAGCUCCUAAGUGUUGAGGUGUCCUGUGAUCUGUCAAGCAACAGAAAACUGAUUCCUCAGAUCCAAGUUCUCUCCCACAGUAAAGAAGAAAAGGCGAAACAUGCAUCAAUUAUGUACAUAGGUUGACAAAAAAAAGGGUACAAACUCAACGUGCCUGUGCAGUAAUAACCAGGCAAAAGGGCAUUUCAAAUUGGAAGAAAAAUUGUCGUGUGAAAAUAAGCACAAGGCGGCAAUAUUUACGAAUAAUUUUGGUCACAAUUUUCAGUUAACAGAAAACUUAAAAUAAAACGUUGGUAUGGGUUAUGGAAGAAAUAAAGUGAACGGUCAUGCAGCCUGCAUGAUGCAGGUAACACAGUUCACUUAUCUAAUACAAAUACAAAACAAAGGGUUCUUGUGAGCAUUUGGAAAGUACGCAAAGUGAUGGCACCAACGUACCAGCUUUAGCAGCAUCUUCGCCAUUUGUAUCUCCAUUAGAGACAGACAUUGUUUCUUUAUCUCCCAUUAACAUAAUGCCAGCAGCAUUGAAGGGAGGAAAUUCAGAGCGUGCAGACAUUGCUUCAGGUUCAACGUCAAUCCACUGUCCAGUUUCAUGUUUUUGCCUCCACAAAUCAAUGAACUGUGUACACGCCUUCCUAUUAAUUGAUAGCGAACACCAACACAGUUAGCGGAACAGAUUUGGUACUUUUGCACUCACAGAAAUUGCUUAAGCUACUUGUGCAUUGCAGCAACAUUCAACAAGCCUGUAUAAUUAGCAUCAGAAUGGAAUGCAUUAUGCAUAUGAGGAUAAUCAGCAGCCUCAGGUUCACAUCAUCUAGAGGAAUAUAAGCCGUAUCCAAUGGAAAGAUCCGGUACAUCAAGCAUGAUACUAUUUCAUCUAUUAGAAGGCAUACUUACAUCAAGCGUGAAGCACCAAAACGCUCUGCGAACGAUAUCAAAUAUAGCAGGUUGUCUAUAUCAAAACCAGCAGCUACAGCACGGGCAAAGGCCAUAGCCUGCUCUUUACGUAAGACAGUCUUGCGAGUCUCCAGCACUCUGAGAAGUUGAACUCUGCAAAACAUUGUAAAAAAAAUCCAUUCACACCUUACCACAAUGCAGAUAAAAAAGGAAAUUCCAAAAAACAAGACAUCAUCCCAAAAAAGAGUGCAGAUAAAGAAAUCAAAGAGCUGGAUUUGGCUGUAGAAUGAGUGUGAGAAACCGUUCAUUAGAUGAAAGCAGGAAAAGAAUGUGAGAAAUAAAUACUUUGAAUGCUCCUCGUGUACUCCAGUGUCGCUCUGCAGUGUUGAUGCUGGAUGUGUGCCAGGCUGUCAUUGAUGCAAAAAAACAUGAGAGUUAUAAACCCCUCUUACCACGACAUUUACAUAGCGAAAAAACAGUUUUAUUACCUAUCGACACAGCCAUACCUUGUACAGAACGAGUGCCUUAUCACCAUCAGGAUCAUAACUUGUCUUGCUACCUGUAAAGGGGCAUGUCAGGUAUAUUUGUCGACGGAAAACGGGACGCAAAAUCAUGUUUCAGUUCAGAUCAAACUAUCAUGAGGAAACAUGUAUAAAUCCCUCAGGAUUAAUUUUUAUGCAGGUACGAAUCGUCCUGAAAACUAGUGCACUUAAUGAUGGUUACAUCCAUCUUAUAGAAUAAUCAGCUUCCGACAUAAGUUAGGUAAAACAGAAGAGAAUGUGUAAGCACGAAUCAGGACAGGACAUGCAUCAAACAUAAAAAUACUUUUGUGCCGUCCACUAUCAUGUAGUACUACCUAACCAACUGGCUAACACAACAGCUGUGACCGAUGGUACACCGUACCAAAGUCCAUAACGGAUGAUAGAUUUUAAAACAGCAGCAUCUGCAUUUCCAUUUACGAACAAGCAUUGCCCAAGAUUUAUUGGUAGAAAUGAAGUCGGUAGCAUCUCUUGUAUUGUACCUUCCAUGGAGGAGUCCACAUUAUAGCCUUCUGCCUGGCAAAUCCCAAACACAAACAUGUCACCGGUCUGCUAAUUAUUACUCUCAACAGACAGACAAACAAACAGGUACACAUUACAUUAGAGAUGAUAGUCGUGCACUUACAGAUUUGAGUCCAAUAUUUGCAUUGUUCUGGACGGCGAUGGCGUCGUGGAGCUGCAGUAUCUCGGACUCGAUGGUGGUGACCCGCUCCAGGACCUCCGGCGUGCUCACGAAACGGACGAACCUAAUGCCAACAAGAAAGGAGCAAAAUGUCAGUGUCGGCAGCCAAACAAACACGACGGACAGAGGACGAACCUCUGGAUGGUGCCCCUGGUGAACCAUGGCGCGUCGGCACCCGGAUCGGGCUGGAGCAGGAUGGUGUAGCCACCCUUGGCGAUCUGGUCCUGGGCGGCCUUCAGGUGCGCGACGAAGGGGUUGAGCAGGCCGGAGGCGAUCUUCUCCUUCCUCCCAUUCACCACCACAACCAAAUCACACCUAGAAAAAAGAAAGAAAGAAAGAAAGAAAGGGGGUAAAAAUUCCUUGUGAUGCUACUGUUACCGACACACACACACACACACACACACACAUAAAAGAAAAGAAAUUGUUGCAGAUGCCAAUCAGUAAGGUAGAGUAAUCAGCAUAAGACAAAAUUGAGCAAUAAGUAUGAACCCUGGAUCUAUCACCUCUGGGAGAAAGAGCAGAGCUUUGCAAAGAUUGGGGAUUGGUUUGCUGGCGGCGCAGAUCCGCAUAUUAUGGGAGGGAUGGGAGGUUGAGCUUGAGCUUGAGUUACCUGGUGCGGGUCGGAGUGAGCUGGAACGCGGCCGAGUCGAGGCGCGUGUCCGGCCUCAUCGCCGUCGCCGUCGCCGUCGCCGUGGGUGGGGUUCAGAUCUUGCGGCAGCGAAAGAUCUAGACCAAAAAAUGCUCAAUCUACCUGGAUGGGGGGGGAGCAGGAGCAAGUGCGGGGAUUUGGGAGAAGCAAGAAGAAAGAAAAUUCAACAAGUUUGCGGAAGAGAAAUCCUCUCCUAAUGGGAACAGUUACAGAUGAUGGGAGGGAUAAAUAGCAGGAGGUAAGAUAUAAAUCUGCUGCUGCUGCUGCUUAGUGCGCGAAAGAAAGGAAGCUGCUUUGGUUUGGUGGAAGAAAAGGAAUGGAGCCUUGACAGCGAGCUCAAAGUGUUCGCAAUAAUAGUGGAGCCUUGACAGCGAGCUUCAGCCUACACUACAGCAGGAGGAAAGGAAUCAUAUCAUAUGCAAGCACAUCAACUUGUGAUUUACUUCUAAUCUACAACUACUAUGGCAUUACUGUUGUAAUAAGAGAUUAAAAACAAUUUCUUCAUUUAUUUCUAUUUUACUAUUUAGUUUAGAUCGGCUACAAACACCCUAGUAUAUUACAGUAGGAGUAAAUAAGAUGGCCUCUGCUUUGGAUUCCAUUAAUUUCACUGUGCUACACGAGGACAGGCAGGCAGUCAGUCCUGUAAGUGGAAGUAUGUGAGGAGGAGCAUAAUUAAAAAAAAAAUCAAGCUUGUCAUGUCAUGUGAUGUGACAAGCAAGUGGCACGCCAUACCAUACCAUUACAUCUAGUACCAGGGAUCGUUUUGGCUGGCUGGCUGGCUGGCUGGCUAAUUAAGUUGGUGAUGAGAUUGAGAUUAACAUUAACAUUACAUUAACCGAUGGAGGUUAGUCAGUUCAGUUCUCGUCCUCGUUUUAAUCGGGAAAAAAAUUAGAUACAUAGUGAGAAGGUGAUUUGAGGGUUGUCCCUCAGGAUGAUUUGGGAUCUGAUUUUGUCGACAGUGAUAAUUCUAUUGAGGCUAGUCCGGGGGUAAUGAAAUUCCACGGGAUGUUCAAGAGAUCGCUUCUGCGAUUGGGGGGGAGAUUAAUUUGAACUGGCCAAGCCUAGUUGGUGGCCACAUGCCCACCCGAUUACCCCCGCUUCAGUUAUUCGUGGAUGUGUGGUCGGGAAGAAGGCGCAAAGGAAAAAAUGUGUCUUCUCACCUCGCCCACGGGGUUUCGGAGGAGGUAGCGGAAUUUUAUGGGCAACUAUAGGUUGUUUCGUCCUCGUGCCAUCGGCAGCGUCGUUAUAAGGCGCAUGCUUGCCCUUCAAACCCUAAUUUCUCGAUCCCCAAUCUCUUGUGGGUGAGGAAGGACUUGUUCCUAGCAAAGAAUUUUACUCUUCAAGAUUGCUUUCCCGUGAAAGCUCUGAGUCGCUUUGACCCCUCCCCUACGAAUUUUAAGAUUUCCACCGAGGGGGUGCCCUUGGAUCUAGAUCGUUCACUCAAGUAGUUCGGGGAGAGAUAGAGAAUAAGGGGCAGAUGGACCACAUGCGGAAUCAAAGGCCUCCUCCAUGCAAGAAAAAUCGUCAGGACACCAAAGUUUCCCCUGUUGGAAAUCAGCCGAAAGUUGUGCCGGCGACCAAGGCUAGGGCUAGGGAGAAACAGAAUGUUGUUGCUCCUCCUCCCGCCCCGCCCCCAGCUACCAAUCUCCCUGCACCCCCCUCAGGCCCCUAUUGUGCAAGCUCUAGACCCUAGGUACAAGGAUAUGAUAUGUUUUAAUUGUAGUUGGCCGGGUCACUGUGUGGGGAAUUGCAUUGAGCCAAAAAGAUGCUUCGUAUGUGCCGGUAGUCACAAUGUGAACAACUGUGUGGCAUGGGCUAAACCACAACCCACUGCUACUUACUUUGGAAGUGCAGCCGCCGGUUUAGGGUUCUAUCACAUUGACACUCCUGAGGCUACUGAGUCAAAUUGGUUGAACUAUAAAGACUGUGCCAUUCAUAAGGUGAUAAAGGGAGAAGUUUCUGCUUCGGAUCUCUUAACACAAUUAAAUGGGAUCUUUUGUAAGAACAAGGAUUGGCCGUGGCAGAUCAGAGAGCUAGAGGAGAAAAAUUCCUGCUAAGGUUCCCUCGUUGGAAAAAUGUGAAUGACCUGAUCGAAUUUCCUGCUUUUGAGAUGCCGAUCGAUGGUGUUUCUGUUAAAAAUUUUGAAUGGCAAGGCAUGUUAUACCCUUUUGGAGAUCUUACUAAAGCCUGGGUACAGAUUGAAAGGAUUCCUCCAAAGUGAUGUGCAUGGAAGGUUUUUGUUCAAGUUGCUGCUUGUUUUGGCAUCCUUGUGGAUGUCGACUCUAAUGGGAUCUUCAAGAGUUACUAUGAAACAAUCAGAAUCAAAGUUGCUUUCAGAGACCCCAAGAAAAUCCCCUUUGAGAGAGUGGUGGAGAUGAAAAGGAAAUUAUACAUCCUGUUUUUACUGUGGAAGGGUUUGAACAAAUUAGAGAAGAUUCUGAUGGUGAUGAUGUAGAUCCUGAUGAGGACAAUCAUGAGGGAGAUGGGGAAGAACAUGGAGAAGAGGCUGAGAGAGAGGAUCUCGGAGAUGAUGAAGAGGAUGAAGCAAUUGAUGAGACAGAUAGAGCUAACUUUCAGUCCAAAAGCAUGGAGACUAGGAGUAGUAGUAAAAGUGGCCAAGUAUGUGUUGUUUGUGCAACUGAUUUCCACCCACACAUUUUGGUGGAUGAGGUUCAUGAGAGUUCGUUGAGGAAAUCAGGAAAUCUCUCCCUAUAGAAGAUAUGAUGGCUCUGGAGAUAGAUGAGGUUGAGGGUCCGGGUGUGGAUGUCGUGUCACCCCUCUGUACAAGUGAUGUGCCUAUGUCGGUCCAUCUGGACUACUGUUCUAAACAGCUUCGCAAAUUUGAUAUGAUGGAGUCUGAUGAUGAGGAAGAGAACAUGCUUCCUGAGAUGCAAUGCCUUGCAAAAGAGAUUUCUGUUGUUUUGGGGUCUACCAAAAGAUCCUUGCUAGACAAUUUGGAAAAGGAAGUUGGGCAGAAGAAAAGGUUCAAUUCUGGUAAGGUUGCGACUUCGGGGCCUCUCCUCAAUAACAAACCAAAUACGAGGGGUCAUGGAGGAGUCAAGAACGUGGACAAAGCUAAUGCAUAAAUGCAGAAAAAGAACCUAGAAAUCCCAGCUACAUUCAGAGGUAAAUCUUUUGCUGCCAUUGCUCCUGAAACUUUAAUUUCUCAUACAAAUAGUGGUGAUAUUUGCAUUGGCUGUGAUGAGGCGGAACGGAUUAAUAUCAUUACUGGUAUGAUUGAUGAGGAAAAACUUAAAUGCAUUCAAUUUUCUAAUAACAACCCCGAGAUUGUUCUCCGUGAUAAUCUAGACACACAUAUUGGGCCGGUUGAGAGUGAUCCUAGGUCUUUCUCACCUUUCGCAUCACGGGACACUGCUGAUGCGGAGGUGGAGAAUCCUAAACUUUGUACGAAGUCUAAGCCGUGUGGCUUAUCACACCCUUUUAAAAUUAAAUGAUUUGGGCCUUUUGGAAUAUACGAGGUCUAGGAAAACCUGGUAAACUACAGUGCCUUGAUGAUUUUCUGAAAACUAAUAAAGUUGACUUUGUUGGUUUCUCUAAGACCAAGAAGGAGGUGACUGAUGACCACAUUUUAAAAAAUAUUGCUCGCGGUUGGGAUUUUAUGUCGCAUUCGCUUCCUGUUGUUAAUAUUGCGGAAGGGAUCCAUGUGGGUGUGAAUAAUGAGCUGUUCGAGACUAUAGGGUUUGUGGAUAAAUUUUUUUGUUGCAUUGCUACUGUUAAGAGAAAAAGUGAUGGUUUUGUAUGGCAUCUAGUGGUGAUUUAGGAACAGCCUAUAAUGGAUUAAAAAUGGAAUUUAUAGCGGAGCUUCAUGAGGUUAUGGCUGGACUCUCAUAUCCAGUCAUUUUUGGGGGUGAUUUCAAUUUAGUUCGCUCCGGUGCACACAAGAAUAAUGGGGUGGUCAAUAAUUAGCUCGUUUAUCUAUUUAAUGACUGGAUAAAUAAAUGGGCUUUGAUGGAGAUCAAUAUUGCAAAUAGGAGUUAUACCUGGGGUAACAACCAAGAAAUCCUAUUUUUGCUACUAUUGAUCGUGUUCUGGUUUCUACAUCUUGGGAUACCCAUUUCCCCGUGUCAGUAUUGAAAGCCUUGUCGAGAGUGGGUAGUGACCACACCCCUCUGAUUCUUGAUACCGGGGCUCGGAGGGUUACCUCCCCGAAAUUGUUCUAUUUUGAAAAAUGUUGGCUAGACCAAGCUGCUUUAGAGACCUGGUGGUUAAGAUUUGGAAUACUUCAAUCCCAGGUGAUAGUGCCAUGGAUAUAUGGAUGAACAAAACUAGACUCCUUCGCAAAAAGAUUAAAGGUUGGAGUAUUAACCCGGGGGCUAGUUUGAAGAAAAAGAAAAGAGAGCUUAUGCUGGAAUUUGACAUCCUUGAUGUUUUUUUCAGAAAGUAAUCAAUUGAAUGUGGGGGAUAUAUCUAGACUGAAUGACAUUAAAUUUGAGCUUGAUCUGAUCUGGAAACGGGAGGAAACUGCCUUGUGGCAGAUAUCUGAGGGGAUAAGAAUAAUGCCCAUGCAAUGGCUAACCAUACACAUCGGAAGAACCACCUUGCUAAACUAAAUGGUGACAAUAGUCUAGUUCAGACUACUGAGGGGAUGCUUGAAGUUGCAACAUCCUUUUACAAGAACCUUUUUGGUUUCGAACCCAAACUUAAUAUUAACCUUGGCACUUCCUUCUGGAAGGAGGACAUGGUUACCGAGGAGGAGAAUGAAAUUCUUCAGAAAAACUUUACCGAAGAGGAGAUCAAAAAUGCAAUUUUUGGCAGUUAUGCCAACGGGGCCCCUGGCCCUGAUGGUUUAUCUUUCUUAUUUUAUCAAUCCUUUUGGGAUGUGAUUAAAAAACAUUUCAUGGCUUUGAUUAGAGAUUUUGAGCUGGGUAAAUUAGAGUUGCACGAUUAAACUUUGUGUUAAAUGUGCUUAUUCCUAAAGAACCCAAUGCCAAGGACAUGAAAAAAUUGAGGCCUAUUAGUGUGAGUAAUUGUGCGAUUAAAAUUUUCUCUAAGGUUAUGACUAACAGAGUUGCCCCUGUUGGCCAUAGGCUGAUCUCCUCUAAACAAACAAUGUUUAUUAAGGGGAGGUAUGUUGUAGAGAGUGUGGUUAUGGCUCAUGAGGUCAUCCAUGAGGUUAAGAAAUCUGGAUCACACGGCCUAGUUUUAAAACUUGAUUAUGAGAAAGCGUAUGAUAGGGUGAGCUGGGAAUUUCUGUUUGAAAUGCUUCAUUCGAGAGGUUUUGGGGCUAGAUGGAUUUCUUGGAUUAAAAGUACUUUGAUGAAUAGCACUUUUAGUGUGAAAAUUAACAAUUCGAUGGGUCCUCAUUUUGUUGGGGGUAAAGGGCUUAAACAGGGGGACCCAUCCUCACCUAUGCUCUUUAACUUGGUUGUUGAUAUCUAUUCCAAGAUGCUUCACAAAGCUGCUAAUGAGGGGUUGAUUGCGAGGCUUUUGCCUCAUAUCAUUCCGGGAGGGGUGGUGAGUUUGCAAUAUGCAGAUGAUACUAUUCUCUUUCUGGAGAAUUUUGUAGAUAAAGCUAGGCACUUCAAAUGGAUGUUGGCCUGUUUUGAAAACCUAUCAGGCCUGAAAAUCAACUUCCAAAAGAGUGACCUUAUGACCAUUAAUGUGGAAGAGGAUGUGUCUAUGGAGUUUGCUUAGCUUUUCUGUUGUAAACUAGGUACUUUCCCUAUUAAGUAUCUAGGUGUACCUCUUCAUUAUGAUAAUCUUAGACGCAAAAUAUUCAGCCAAUUAUAGAUAAAAUCAUUACAAAUCUUUUUGGCUGGAUGGGGAGGUUCUUAACCUAUAAAGGUAAAAUUGUUCUGCUCUGUUCUUGCAUUAUUAGCAUUCCUGNNNNNNNNNNNNNNNNNNNNNNNNUUCCUGCUUACUGUUGGAGAACGUUGCAUGGGAAACAAAAAAAAUCCUACGCACACAAAGACCUAUCAUGGUGAUGCUCAUCUACGAAAGGGAGAUCGGAUCCACAUACCCUUGUAGAUCGCUAAGCGAGAAGCAUUAAGAAACGCGGUUGAUGUAGUGGAACAACUUCGUGAUUCAAAUCACCGUCGUCCCACGAUCCGUUCCGAUCUAGCGCCGAAUGGACGGUACCUCCGCGUUCAGCACACGUACAGCUCGAUGACGAUCUCUGCCUUCUUGAUCCAGCAAGAGAUACGGGGAAGUAGAUGAGUUCUUCGGCAGCGUGACGGCGCACCGAUGAUGGUGAUGAUCUAUUCCUGCAGGGCUCCGCCCGAGCUCCGCAGAAAACCGAUCUAGAGGAAGAACUACGAAGUAGAGGUUUAAGGUUGCACGUGGCAAAAGUUGUGUCUCAAAAACCCUAAAACCUCUAGUAUAUAUAGGAGGAGGGGAGAGGCUAGACUUGGGGCUCAAGAGAGCCCCUAGGGCAUCGGCCGAGUGGAGGAGGAGGGGACUCCAACUUCAAUUCGGUUUGGGGAAGGAGGAGUCCCCUCCUUCCUUCCCACCUCCUUUUUUUCUCCUUUGAUUUUUAUUUUAGCCGACAUAGCCCUAUUAGAUUGGCCUCACCAGCCCACCAAGGGCUGGUGCGCCACCCAUGGGCUAUUGGGUUCUCUCUCGGGUGGGUGCCCCCCUCCCGGAAAAACUCGGAACCCAUUUGCCACUCCCGGUACACUACCGGUAAUGCCCGAAAUCUUUUCGGAGGCCAAAUGAAACAAUCCUAUAUAUGAAUCUUCAUUUCCGGACCAUUCCGGAAACCCUCAUGAUGUCCGUGAUCUCAUCCGGAACUCCUAACAACCUUUGGUCACCAACACCUAUAACUCAACUAUACUGAAACGUCACCGAACCUUAAGUGUGCAGACCCUGCGGGUUCGAGAACUAUGCAGACAUGACCCGAGACACUCCCCGAUUAAUAUCCAACAGUGGGACCUGGAUGUCCAUAUUGGAUCCUACAUAUUCUACGAGGAUCUUAUCGGUUGAACCUCUAUGCCAAGGAUUCAUAUAAUCCCGUAUACCAUUCCCUUUGUCCUUCGAUAUGUUACUUGCCCGAGAUUUGAUCAUCGGUAUCCCUACACCUAUUUCAAUCUCGUUACCGGCAAGUCUCUUUACUCGUUCCGUAAUACAAGAUUCCAUGACUAACACUUUAGACACAUUGCUUGCAAGGCUUAUAUGUGAUGUUGUAUUACCGAGUGGGCCCCGAGAUACCUCUUCGUCACACGGAGUGAGAAAUCCCAAUCUUGAUCCAUGCUAACUCAACGAGCACCUUCGGAGAUACCUGUAGAGCACCUUUAUAGUCAUCCAGUAACGUUGCGACGUUUGAUACAGACAAGGUAUUCCUCCGGUGUUAGUGAGUUACAUGAUCUCAUGGUCAUAGGAAUGAAUACUUGACAUGCAGAAAACAAUAGCAACAAAAUGACACGAUCACAUGCUACGUUCAUAGUUUGGGCCUUGUCCAUCACAUCAUUCUCCCAAUGAUGUGAUCCAGUCAUCAAGUGACAACACUUGCGUAUGGUCAGAAAACCUUAACCAUCCUUGAUCAACUAGCUAGUCAACUAGAGGCUUACUAGGGACAUUGGUUUGUCUAUAUAUCCACACAUGCAUUUAUGUUUUCAUUCAAUACAAUUAUAGCAUGGAUAAUAAACGAUUAUCUUGAAGCAGGAAAUAUAAUAAUAACUAUUUUAUCAUUGCCUCUAGGGCAUAUUUCCAACACUUACCUCAUGUCCAUGAUUAGGUUUCCUAAGUGGGCAAUUAAUGCUAUCAACUCCCAAAUGGCUCACUUUUUGGGGAAGAUUUGGAUGAAAAACACAAAUACCACUUGGCCAUGUGGGGGCAAAAUUCUAGGAAGAAAGAAUUCGGAGGGUUAGGGAUUCCUAACAUCAAAGAGUUUAACAUGGCUUUGUUGGCCUGAUGGGGGAAGCGAUUCAUGGACGAUUCGGCUAGAGAUUGAAAAACAUUAUCAGUCAUAAGUAUAAUGUUAGUUCUCCAAAUAUUCUUUGGAGUUGUGGUGGGAAUGGCUAAACCUUUUGGAACAGAAUUACCUCGGCUCUAUCUGGAGCAAAAGUAUUUUAUAAGUGGAAAUUGGGGAAUGGGGAACCGAUUAACUUCUGGCAUGAUGUGUGGGCCGGGGACUGUUCCAUUAAAGUGCAAUUCUGGAAAUUAUUUGAAAUUUGUAAUCAGACAAAUUGUACAGUGGCCCAAGUUUGGGACGGGUCGGACCUAAGACUGACAUUCCAUAGAUGUGUGGAUCAGGAACUUUAACACUUUGGGAUCAACUUGUUGAGGUGGUGAAACAAACCCCUCUCUCAAGAGAACCUGAUUCUCCUGUGUGUAAACUGGAGUCAAAUGCCACUUACUCGGUUAAGUCUUUCUAUGAGCAAAUUAAUUUUGGGGGUGUGGUAUCUACCAUUGGUGAUAGCCUUUGGAAGGUGGUCUGUCCACAAAAAAAUACAUGUUUUUUAUGGUUAUAUAUCUAUAAUAAAGUUUUAACUAGAGAUAACCAUGAAAACAUAGACCGGUGGAAGAUCCUACUUGUCUCUUUUGUAGCUGUAAGGAAUUAGUGCAACACUUGUUCUUUGACUUUGUGGUUGCUAAACAGCUUUGGGGAUUUAUCUUUGAGGUGUUUAACAAUCCGGAAAUUUUAAGCUUUGAUGAUGUUGCAUUGUUGUGGGGUAGUCCUAAGACUAAUGUUGUACCAAACAUGAUGGUUGUUGCCUCCUUAUGGAGCAUUUGGAAACUGAGGAAUGAAUUUUGCUUUCAGGGCGAUCUUGAAGAAGUGUAAAAUGCAUUCUUGCCAAGCUGAACGUUUACCUAAAUCAAUAAAAAGUACUAUUCACUAAUGCCCAGGCAGUUCUUCUACGGGGAUAUAUCAGGUUGCUGAACAAGAGACGUGGGGAGUUGCUUCGGAUUGCGUGGAGAUGACGCUGGGAGACCAUCGGGGAGCCGAGUAGUUUUCUCUCGUUUUUCCUUCUUUGGCCUGUAAUAAAAGCAUUCUAAGGCUCCUUACGUGACGAUGGUGCUAGUUUCUUCCAAGUUUGUGGUUGCUGGUUUAUAAACCUUUCAAGUGCUGGCCGUUUGCCUAGGCUAUGGUUUGUUUAGAUCUUCUUUAGUGGCUUUGGAGGAUAUGUAAGACAAUGUUGCUUCAUUUUAAUAAAAUAGGGCAGGGGGGAAACCCCUUUCUUUCAAAAAAUAAUAAUAAUAAAAAAAAAGAGUGAGAGCCAACAACAAGCUUCCUUUGUUCUUUGCCUCCUUGCUCCCUUUAAUUCGAUCGAGUGCUUUUGUUCUUGAUUGACAGAUAAUUAUAUUCUUUCCAGCAUCAUCAGACAUGUGGAUUUCCUUAUGGAAUAAUCAACUAGAUGAUUCGCAAAAAAAAAAAAAUAAUAAUCAACUAGAUCUAGGGGGUUUUUCGUCAUCAAAGGUUGUAUUUCUUUCCCAUACUUGAGACAUGCGAGGGGACUCGCGUCGCAUCGGUGUCUGCUCGGCAUCGUCAGCCCAGCUGUCUGGUUGUAAACUUCUGUGGGCAAACUAUAAAUCACUGGGGGAAAAAAGGCAUAGAAUCUACCCAUAAAUCGAUUUAGCUGAUCCAUAGGCAUUCAUGCAAGUUAUUUAUUCUUCUGCGUAUAUAUACACCAGAACCAAUACGCACCUUUUCAGAUCAACACGUCCGAUCCACGACUAUAUACGAGCAAGCAAGCGUUAACGUGUAGAUUGCAAAUACAAUGUAAAGGAUUACACAUACUGAUUACAAACAACACAACACAAGCGUAGAGUGCAAGUAUAUAUAUAUAUAAUAUGCACGUAUGUAUGUAUGUAUGUACGUACUAGAAAUCAUCAAACUAAAUUAUCUCAAUCGACACCCAAUCAAGCCAGCCUCAUCAACAACAAAAAUAGUACCAAGAAAAUCCUCACAUCACAUCACAGCACGAUGACCUUGUUCUUGCGGAACGGCGCCAGCAGGGAGAAGGACCGAGAAGCUGCAGCAUUUUGUACAGUUAAAAACAUGUAUGUUUAUCUACUCCAUUUCAUUUCAUUUCAUAUCAGGGAGAAAAUUAACUUAUGCUAGUUCCAUCGCUGAGCAAUUCUAUAUAUUACUUUACAUAUACAUACAUAGUGAUGUGCUAACCUUUGUAAGAAGAGCCCGCGGAGUCGUCUUGUGAAAUGAGGUUUUUCAGCAUCGAACCUGAAUGAAACAAAUAUUGAAGCACGGUUAAUAAUUAAUUACGGCAAUUAAUGGGCAAAGUGUUCGCAAUAAUAGUGUGAUCACAGCUUGCUUGAUUAGUUACCAUCUCCUGCAGGGGCUUCGUCGACCGAUGACGCAUCGGAAUCCAUUGUUGAAGUAUGGCUCUUCUUCCCGAAUUUCAGCAGUUUCCUGAAGCCUUUCGGUUCUUUGCUUCGAGGCUUGUCGUUUUCUUCAUGUGUCUCCUCGGCUGAGACUGCAUACGCAGUAGGCUCCGGUACGCGUGCCCUCACGCUCUCUGCACGGGCAAAUGUUUCGGGUUCCUGCGCGGGUAAUGGGUGGUGGUUGAAAGCGGGAGCCUUGCUUGAAGCAUCCUCCAAUGAUGUUACCCUGGCGAAAGGGGCCUCAUAAGGUUUCUCCAUGGGAGGUAAGGUUGGCUUCUCAAGCUCAUCCUUCUGGUACUCGGGCACAUCCACCUAGCCAUAACAAGCAUUUCCUUAUCAAUGUCGGCUUGAUUAAUAAUAAUAACAAAUGUAAAAGCAAUAUUUGAUUCAAUAACGUGGGAAUAACAUUGCAUUUCAGCCGAAGGCUGUUGCAUAGAAAAUCCGAGCUCAAAAGUACUUACUGAAGAGAAACAAGAAAACAGAUACCCCAACGAACAGAGCAUCAAGUAAAUGAACUGGGGAUGUAUUAGUGUUGGAUCAUACGUACCUCGUAUGAAUUUAACUGGUUGUCAGAUGUAUGGAUGAUAGGAUUUGCAUCUUCAGGAAGAUCCACCGGAGAAGGUGGAGCCCUGAUGGCAGUAUACUCCUGUUCCAGACUGGGAUUCUCCAUUCGGUCACUGCGGCGAGCUUCGCUCUCUGCAGUUCUUCCAGGAGGUAGAACAACAGGAGGCGUAGAGACCACUUCGUUUUCAAGCAUAACAACGGUCUUCUCAACCACCACAUUGUCAUCGCUGUUGCUUAUCCUGGAAGCUUUACUGUUGGAAGAUUUCUUUCCAUCUCUACUUUCUGAAAUAAUAGGGUGUGCUUUAGCUCCACCACGUGGCGCCUCUUUUGUUUCUUUAGCCACCAUCCUAUUCUUCACAACGACAGCAGCAGGGGUUCGUGGGGAUUUGACUUUCAGCUCUGGUAAGGCUGCCGAUUUGGUCUCGUCGAGCUGCAUUAUGGCGGAGAUUUUCUUGGUCUGCACAUCUUCCGGCAAGCUUCUUCUCCGUUGGUGGUCCACGCUGGCUGACUUGGGAUUCGAAGGAUGGUCAGUUGAAGUAUUGCUUUUAGGUUGAGCAAGCUUUUUCAAUCGCUCAAUGGACGAUUCAGUUUUGCCACUUCUCUCCUUUUUUAUGUCGGCCAAGGAUGAGAUUGACUUGCUCACUGCACUUGAAUUGUCACCGCCGAGUUUGCUUGCUUUGGCUGUUUUCUGAGGAUCACUCCCUGGGGUACUGCUUCUGGCAGGAAUAAUUUUUCUUAGAGGCGAAGAGGAUCCUGGUUCAGCGUCAGUGAACUUCGAACUCUUGUGAGUACUUGGAGAAACCUUUGGAGAAGGUUUUGCUUUAGCCUGCGGCGGUGUUGAUACUGGAUUAGAUGCACCAGUUCUUGCAGCAAUCCUCUUUUGCCUCUCUUGCUUAAGCCUUUCGAGCCGUUUGAUCUGUUCGGCUUCCUGAAAAUAUUUAGAAGAAGAAAAAUGUAUCAUCGGUUUGAGCAAUCUUGCCAAUGCAAACAAAUGACAUUCAUAACUCUGUGGUGAAAACCAAUAUGACAAAGAAAUCCAGGAAACCAUUUUCGGCUGGCAGAUAUUUGUAGUUUGCCUUUUUAGGCCCUAUUAUUUGCUUGUAGGUAGUGGUGUUGUAGAGACACAUAUUAACAUAUAGUACUCCCUCUGUAAACAAAUAUAAGAGCGUUUAGAUCACUAGAUAACUCCCUCCGUAAAGAAAUAUAAGAGCGUUUAGAUCACUAGAUAACUCCCUCCGUAAAGAAAUAUAAGAGCGUUUAGAUCACUAGAUAACUCCCUCCGUAAAGAAAUAUAAGAGCGUUUAGAUCACUAGAUAACUCCCUCCGUAAAGAAAUAUAAGAGCGUUUAGAUCACUAAUCUAGUGAUCUAAACGCUCUUAUAUUUGUUUACAGAGGGAGUACAGUUUAACAGGGGCAGGAAACAAUGAUGGAAAAAUAGCAUUUGAUACAUAUGAGCAUGGUGGGGGUAUUAAUUUAACUUUUCCACACCAAAAGGAGAUAGAUAAUAACUAUAGCACUUUGUUGUAUACAAAUCCGAUUUGGUCAUUUAAAAUAUGCGAUGAGGUGCAAAUGAGGAUGUUGAAAAAUGAGUAAGUUAAGUCAUAUGGGCCACACUUAAAACCAUAAGAAAGGAGUAAACCAGAAGAAAAGUAAGUAAAAUGGGAAGUAAUGCAUCACAGGGUACCUGCUCCUUCUUUUCCUUUUGAAGGCCCGCUUUAUACGCCCGUAGGUUUUGCGCGCGUUUCUGUGCAUCGGUUAGUGGGCCUUUGGGCGCUGACAAUCUCCUUGCUGAGGCAUCCUUCCUUCUUUUAUCCAAACCCUCCUGUGAGCUUCUAAGCUUCUUAUCUUUGCCUGGCAUCUUUUCUUCGUCCUCGACGCAAGCUGAUAAAUUCUCUGCAUUUGCAUCUUCAGCACCAACGUCAGGAUGAAUCUGCAUGUGGCUAUCAUAGUCCAUUGAUGGGUCAUAUCCAAAUGAAACAUCUUCAAAUCCACGCUCUGGCAUCAAUUCAUCUGGCUCGUAGAACAGUUCAGCUCCAGCCUUAGCAUCAUCUGAUGUUUUGUGAACAACACUUGAGCUAAGCUCGGCAUCGAUGUCAAUGGCAGUACGGCCAUCAGCUCCAAGGUUAUCCUGUGAGCUGGAGCUAACAGGUAUCAUGAAAGACUCAUCCACACCGUGCACAUUCUUCUUUUCCUCCACAGUGGGUCUCUUGUAAUGUGCCUCGGCGAGGGGGUCCAAAGAGCUCCCCCUGUCCAUUGAGUUGUCAUGUCCAUAAACCAUGAAGUCAUCAUUUGCCCCUCUUCUGUAUCCCCCACCUCCGGCUU